ACUCAAAGGAAUUGACGGGGGUCCGCACAAGCGGUGGAGCAUGUGGUUUAAUUCGAUACUACGCGAGGAACCUUACCUAGGCUAGAAUGUAAUUUGACAGGUUUAGAGAUAGACUUUUCCUUCGGGACAAAUUACAAGGUGCUGCAUGGCCGUCGUCAGCUCGUGCCGUGAGGUGUAUGGUUAAGUCCUAUAACGAGCGCAACCCCUAUACUUAGUUGCCAGCAUGUAAAGAUGGGGACUCUAAGUAGACUGCCUGCGCAAGCAGUGAGGAAGGAGGGGACGAGGUCAGGUCAUCAUGGCCCUUACGCCUAGGGCGACACACGUGCUACAAUGGCGUGUAUAGAAGGAAGCUACCUGGUAACAGGAUGCCAAUCCCCAAAGCACGUCUCAGUUCGGAUUGAGGUCUGCAACUCGACCUCAUGAAGCUGGAAUCGCUAGUAAUCGCGCAUCAGCCAUGGCGCGGUGAAUACGUUCCCGGACCUUGUACACACCGCCCGU
rnacentral:rRNA from 1 species